UACGAAGGGGGCUAGCGUUGCUCGGAAUCACUGGGCGUAAAGGGCGCGUAGGCGGCCGAUCAAGUCAGGGGUGAAAGCCUGUGGCUCAACCACAGAAUGGCCUUUGAUACUGUUCGGCUCGAGACCGGAAGAGGUUGGUGGAACUGCGAGUGUAGAGGUGAAAUUCGUAGAUAUUCGCAAGAACACCAGUGGCGAAGGCGGCCAACUGGUCCGGUUCUGACGCUGAGGCGCGAAAAGCGUGGGGAGCAAACAGG
rnacentral:rRNA from 1 species